rnacentral:rRNA from 1 species
CAGUAGCCGCGGGAAUACGGAGGGGGCAAGCGUUAUCCGGAAUUAUUGGGCGUAAAGGGUACGUAGGUGGCCUUUUAAGCGUAGGGUAUAAGGCAAUGGCUCAACCAUUGUUCGCCCUAUGAACUGGAAGGCUUGAGUGCAGGAGAGGAAAGCGGAAUUCCUAGUGUAGCGGUGGAAUGCAUAGAUAUUAGGAGGAACAUCAGCGGCGAAGGCGGCUUUCUGGACUGCAACUGACACUGAGGUACGAAAGCGUGGGGAGUAAACAGGAUUAGAUACCCCGGUAGUCCCUGUCUCUUAUACA